rnacentral:tRNA from 1 species
UGCGCCGUGGUGUAGGGGAAACACAUCACCCUUUGGAGGUGAAAUCGCAGGUUCGAAUCCUGCCGGCGCGA